GGUGGCUCAGUGGUAGAGUGCUUGCCUUGCAUGCAUGCAUGAGGUCCUGGGUUCAAUUCCUCAGCACCA
rnacentral:tRNA from 1 species